GAUGAAGAACGUAGCGAAAUGCGAUAAGUAAUGUGAAUUGCAGAAUCCAGUGAAUCAUCGAAUCUUUGAACGCACAUUGCGCCCGCCAGCAUUCUGGCGGGCAUGCCUGUUCGAGCGUCAUUUCAACCCUCGACCUCCCUUUGGGGAAGUCGGCGUUGGGGACCGGCAGCACACCGCCGGCCCUGAAAUGGAGUGGCGGCCCGUCCGCGGCGACCUCUGCGUAGUAAACCAACUCGCACCGGAACCCCGACGUGGCCACGCCGUAAAACACCCAACUUCUGAGCGUUGACCUCGAAUCAGGUAGGACUACCCGCUGAACUUAAGCAUAUCAAUAAGCGGAGGA
rnacentral:misc_RNA from 1 species